rnacentral:rRNA from 1 species
AGUAGGGAAUAUUGGUCAAUGGAAUGCAAGUCUGAACCAGCCAUGCCGCGUGCAGUGAUGAAGGCCUUCUGGUUUGUAAACUGUUUUUGCCGGGAGAAAUAAAUUCCCAUGCGUGGGAAAUUGAAGGUACCCGGUGAAUAAGCCACGGCUAACUACUA